rnacentral:misc_RNA from 1 species
AGCUGUCCUGAUGAAGAAAAUGGCGACCCAGCGCUAUUUUCAGCGAAAUUGUCUGACUGUGUUUAUUGAAUACAAAGACUUGGGUUGGUUGUGUCAGGACUCUGAUGAGAAGUGUCUCACUCUAUCCAAACAGAACUUCAUUGCGCAACUGAUGAGACAGUUUCAGCGUUUCAUUACAUCAACUAAUCCUCAAUAUCUAGGUGAAGCAAGUGAGGAGACACAAGCAAGAGCUCUGCUCCUUCUGCUCAGAGUUGCCAACAGUGAUGCCCAGUUCUACUCUCAGUUUUUCUCGCGAGAACAAGAUGGUGUGCUAGCAUGCCAUCGCCAUGCAAAUCGGGCCUCCAUAUUCUCAAGAUGGCUGAAUUUCUGAUCGAACGUAACAGCUCGGUGACAAGAAAGAACGAAGACCCCUCCAUUACACCUCAUAAAUGGGAUACAAUGACCUUGUGCGCCUUCUCUACAACUGUGGAGCUGACAUCAACGCUAAAGAUAAGAUGAUACCAAAACAUAUUACACAGUGUAGAUGGACAGAUAGAAAGUGUGAACAUCAAAAGCCAUCGUGUGUGUUACCCAGUUUCCAUUCUGCAUCUAACAAUAGUAACCGAACAUCCAACAUCAUAACUUUAUUAUAUCAUCUAGUUAAUUUUGAUAUCACAUUAACUAAAAAGCUUUCCUCAUAAUAUACAAGAAAUUAAUACAUUGCCGAGAUUGUCAAAGAUGUGAAUUUUCAAUGUGCUUUGAUGCAAAUUAUUGCAAAAAACUAAUAUCAUGUUUAGCUAUGCAUAAAUUAAUAGGCAUGAUGGCCAUUCUUUACUGAAUCGAAAUAAGCUGUUAUAACUUUGUCAACUAUUAAUUUGGUUUUCAAUAAACUAGUUAUGAUCAGAUGCCUUAUUAAUAAAUGCAAAAUUCAUGUAG